CCAAGAGAUGCAGUUACAUAAAAACCCUAAGGCAUGACUUUUAAUCUUGCUUAAUAGUCAAGGAAGGGAUUUCACUGAUUAUUAUUAAUAUUCCUUGAAAAACAUAAUGUUUUGUUUGGGCCAAGAGCAUUUUAUAGAUUCAUUGUGUACCAUAAACACUCUGGAAAUGUUCAAAUUAGUUUAGACCUUUUAUCAAUGAGGUUAAGAUUGCUGUUAAAGCCAACAUUUAUAACAAACGUAGCAGGAUCACAUUAAGAAGGCAUCUGAAGACUCUGCCUGUGUGAAAAGCACAGAAGGUUAUGGGAGUAAGAAAGUUCACAUGCUGUGAACUCUGAAACUAUGUUUCAAGGGACAUACAGCACCAAUUUCAGUUCGAAAGGAUCCAGAAGUUACUGAUAUUUACUCAUUUCCAUUACAUAAUGAACAAAUUGUUUCAUUCUCUGUGAAAGCUGCCUCCUAAGUUGUAUGAGUCUGAAGUGUCCCCCAGCCACAGCUCUCCAUGUGUACCCACUCAAGGGACUCCACCUACAGCCUUUGCGGUGACACAAGGCUUCCGGGGACUUAGGCCGUGGGUGCAGGUGGGAUACCGUAAUCCUCCGCAUUGUCCUGGUGUGUCCAUACCCACGGCAUCGCCCUGGCAAGGAAGAUGUUUUACUCAAUGAAUAUUUUGGAAGGAAAACCUCUCAUAUGGAAAGUCAGGACUGAAGAAUAACACAAUAAAAAAAUACUCCUUCAGUGACCAAAGUGAUUCUAUUACCAGGUGAUCAGCACAAGUGUCAGGGUGUCCCUGUCCUCUAAAAAAACCAAAUCCCCUUAGAUCUCCUUGUCACUUUGUUAAUUUUCUCCCUCAACUAAUCUGAAGCAAACUGCUUGGGCCAAAUGGGCCUGUGACAAAGGACAAAGGCGGUUUGAUACUUUUAAAGGCCAAGGAGCCCCUGUGGACUGCAGAAACGACCAAAUAAGCUUACAAGGUGUGAUCAGAAAUACAGGGGAUAUUGAAGUUUUUUAAAAAUGUAUUAUAAGGCUAGGGAUUUAGCUCAGUGAUUCCGCUGCCUGCUUUGCAAGCACAAGGGCCUGAGUUCAAUCCCUG
rnacentral:lncRNA from 1 species